GCUCUGUAUAAAUAAAUGCAGUUUUAGGUUUUUUUGUAUUUUUUUUCUCUCAAUUUUGUAUCAAAUUAACAUAAAAUGACAAACUGACAGAAGCGGGAAUAUUAAGGAAGGCAUUGGAACAUUUAGACAGGCUGCAGCAGAGACAUCCCAAAAGUAUCUCUCUCUCUAAAUAUGAUGAGGAAGUUGUACUCCCAUGACACCUUCCUCCAUAGGCUGGCUAAGCAUCAUAUGAGUUGUAGAUCCAUAUAGUGACAGAGGUGCUUGUUGGAUGCCAAAUGGAACCAAAUAUAAGAGUUGUAUUACAUUCUAAAUAGCAGACAAUACUGACAAUGAUCACUGUGAGAAUACAUUCAGACGUGCGAAGCCUGACAUGGAGAUCAGAAAAAAAAGCAAAUUAACAGAGAAAUUUGAAGGUUGUACUAACCAUGCAGUACCCCGAAACACAAAGAAUAUUUUAUAAACAAAUCUCAAAAUCUAGAUGAGAUAAAAGAUUCUCAUGGAGAAAAACCAUUGCAGAGGCACCAGUUUAAAGGGACACUAUAAUCACCAAAACAACUAACUUAAUGAAGCAGUUUUGGUGUACAGAUCAUGCCUCUGCAGUCUCUCUGCUCAAUUCUCUGCCAUUUAGGAGUUAAACCACUUUGUUUAUGAACCCUAGUCACACCUCCCUGCAUGUGACUUGCACAGCCUUCCUAAACACUUCCUGUAAAGAGUAAUCUAAUAUUUACCCUUCCUUUAUGGCUAAUUCUGUUUAAUUUAGAUGUUUUUAUGUAAUCCCUGUAAUUUCUUAUGUAGCCUCCUGUAUGUAAUUAAAGUUCAAUUUACCGAGCAGGAGAUAAAAUCUUUGAAGGUAAGUUACAUCUGAUUGAUUUUAUUUUUUUUUAAAACAUGCAGGCUGCCUCAGUCAGAGCCACGGGAGGUUUGGCUAGGGCUGCAUAAUCAAAAACAAAGUGAUUUAACUUCUAAAUGGCAGUGAAUUGAGUCGUGAAAAUUAAGAGGCAUGAUCCAUACACUAAAACUGCUUCAUUCAGCUAAAGUUGUUUUGGAGACUAUAAUGAUCCUUUAAUUAAAAGCCCUUUGCUCCUGGAACACAAGAAGCUAUGAUGUUUGCCUACUGAUUUUUAUUUUUCAGAUUUUCUUUUUUACAUUUUCUAAAGUCACAAACAAUGAAAUACCAUGAUUAACGUCUGAUGUCACCUUGCCUUGGUUUAUAUUGAAUUCACACAGGAAGGAUACAAAACGAAUUGGAGACUUUAGGGACAGUAUUAGCACACUAUCAACACUUCAAUAAGAUGAAGUGAUCCCUUUAACUUUCUGUAGCAGUCCUGAGCUUUUCCAAUAAACAGUGCUUUACGGGCAAAUCAAGAUAUGGCUGGAGUUAUUAGGUUCAAUAAAACAUUUAUGAAUAUAAUCAUGAAGCCCAGCAAAGCUUUCUGGGAGUUCUGGUUCGCCUAAUAGCUUUAAAAAAGUAAAAGUAGACCAGAAUGAGAAGCUCCUGAUACAUUGUGUGGGCAUGUUGAUAAUGUAGUAAGUUGCACCAUAAGCAGGAAAAUGAAAAAUUCUAUAUUAUAAUCGAAUAACUUUACCAUAUAUAGCAAAUAAGGUCAAUUCCAGUCUACUGCUCCUAUUUAUUAGAAUUGUUUGGCUGGGAAGAAAAAGACUCUGCUGUCAUUGGUACGUAAUGAGAGAAAGAUCAAGAAACUCCAUUCUAUGUCCUGCACUGACUGUUGGCAGCACGACUUAAUGUCAUAUUCCAGUGACUGUUUACUACAGUAGAGACAGGAGAGAGAAGAGGAACAGACAGUGUGCAUUCCACAACAACCGAAGUUAUGUCUGCUCUUGUCAGGACAGUAGUAGGCUAGAUGUAGACACUGAGGGGGAGAUUUAUCAAAGAGUUCUCUUCUAAACCACAACAAGAGGACAUAGACUUAAAUUAGAGGGGCAAAGGUUUAAAAAAUAAUAUCAGGAAGUAUUACUUUACCGAGAGGGUAGUGGAUGCAUGGAAUAGCCUUCCAGCUGAAGUGGUAGAGGUUAACACAGUAAAGGAGUUUAAGCAUGCGUGGGAUAGGCAUAAUGCUAUCCUAGCUAUAAGAUAAAGCCAGGGACUAAUGAAAGUAUUUAGAAAAUUGGGCAGACUAGAUGGGCCGAAUGGUUCUUAUCUGUCGUCACAUUCUAUGUAAGUGGUUAAAAAAUUUAAAAAGGGAAAAGUCCCCAAUAGAAUAUGCCUGCUGGUUUCCAUGGUGAUUGCACCACUUAAUACUUCAGACUUCUUCUGUGAACAAAACACGUUGAUGAAUCUCCCCCUUUAGAGUGUAUCCAAGAGUAAUGUAGAGGCUAAAAUUGUUCAUACAUGGGUCCCAUUACAAGCGAAGAAAAGACAGAACACAUCUCUACAGAGUAAUGUUAAAAAAAACACAUUCUAAAUGAUGGUGCCAGGCUCACGUUCUGUAUAUCUGUCUCAUUACACUUAAAGGACCACUAUAGUCACCCAGACCACUUCAGCUCAAUGAAGUGGUCUGGGUGCCAGGCCCCCCAGGUUUUAACCCUCAGCUGUAAACAUAGCAGUUUCAGAGAAACUGCUAUGUUUACAUUGCAGGGUUAAUCCAGCCUCUAGUGGCUGUAUUCCUGACGAAAAUCGCAUUGAGCACGCAGAACGUGGGCGUUUUUAAUGCAUGGGUGGCUCUGGCCACGCAUGCGCAUUAAGCUCCACUCGGGAGCUGAUGUCGGAGGGGGAGGAGAGGUCACCAGCGCCCAAGGAGCCCGGCGCUGGAUAAAGGUAAGUGGAUGAAGGGGUUCCUUAGGGGGGACCUAAGGAUUAUAUAGUGCCAGGAAAACAAGUUUGUUUUCUUGACGCUAUAGUGAUCCUUUAACACUUAAGAGAGGUCUACAAAUCAACAAAUCCAUUAACGUUUGACCUCACAAAAACUAACUGCAUGGAAUAGUGCUUUACUGGCAACGCACAUAUGAUUUUCAUUAACAUUUGUAGUAUUUUUCUCAUGGCACUUUAGCAUUUGUAAAUUGGAAUAUAUAUAAUAUAUAUAUAUAUAUUACAGUAUUAGACAAUACAAACAAUUACAUUAAUCACAUUUAUUAGGGACAGUAAGUGGCCUAGGAGUGGAGGGUAUCAAUGUACGGAGGAUCUAACACAGUGCAUUAUAUGCACAAUUUGUUGUGUUUACCUAGCCAACCAGACAUUACAGACAUUCAAAGUAUGCCAUAAGUUAUAACUACUAAAGUGCAAAUUCAUCUAAAAUAGUAUAACUUUUUAAAUAAAGGGAACCACUAUCUGUCUGAGUGUUCUCUGCUAGAAGUGCCAGAACAAGGACCACAAUGUAAUGUGAAAUACAUAUUGGUAUACUGUAAUUACUAUUAGUUAAAUGAAUGCAUUCAUUUCAUAUUGCCUUCUCACAUUCCUUGGGUUUUCUUAAUAGUCGCAGGAGAGCAAAUACGUAGCUUUCAGAUGUUCCAAUAAUAAUAAUUAGAAUAAACAGUUUACUGUAUUGUAUAAAAAAAAAAAAAGGCAAACGGCAGAAGAAAAAUAUUACUGUAAAAGAAUAAGGGCAACCAUUGCUUUGGCUUCAGGAUCUGGUCACCGAUGGUUUGGUAGAAACAAAAGAAAGUUGAUUCUAUUGAUCUCAAACUGAUUCAUCUGCAUGGGCUUACAUGGAUUUCACUUGUGAGCUUAAAGGGACACUCCAGGCACCAAAACAACUUAAUCUAAAUGGCUCCUGUUGCCUCCAGUUGCGAUGUCUACUCUACCCCCCAGAUGGGGGGAGUGCAGAUUUCAGCCCACCAUAGAGCCGCUGAUUGGCUGAGAGCGGUCAGCUAACGCUCUCAGCCAAUCAGCAGCGCCCCUGCCCGGCGGCCCUCCACGUUUCCUAAAACUAAUAAGGCAUUUUAGUCAAAAGGCUAUGAAAUUGAAAUUUAGUUUUAGUCAUAGUCUGCCAAAAGUAACACUGCACAGAGGGGCUGUGGAAGGGGCAAAAGAGACAGAUCAGGGCUUGGGAGAGAGACACCUAGAGGGGCUGGGAGGACACAAAGAGACAGAGAAGCUGGAAAAGGGGCAAAAAAAGAGACAGAUAGAAGUGUUAUUUAAAACCAUUUGAUUUUAGUUGUGUUGACUAAAAUCGACUGGAGAUUUAGUCGACUAAAACUAGACUAAUUCAAUUCAGAUGACAAAAAUACAACUAUAACUAAAAUGGCUUUUUGAAUAAAACUAAAUUGAAAUUUGCCGCCAAAAUUAACACUGCGUACAGGGGCUUUCUGGCACCAAAACAACUUUAUUUAGAUGAAGUUGUUUUAGUGAACGGAGUUGUCCCUUUAAGACCCAGAUUGCAUUUUCACCACCAAACGAUGUGUCACACUGCACACUUGGUCACCAUAUACUUGGCACGGGUCUCCCCUUACACACAAUGUUGUCUAUUUAGCAUUUCACCACUCACAUGCAGAAACUACGAAUUGUGAGCAUGCAUGGACAUGAAUGCAUACAAUUGUAGGUUUGUCAAUUCAGAUAUAGGUGAAAAAACAACUCGAUCUUUUUUUCAGCCAAACAAUUUCUGUGGAAACUGUUAAUCAGCUUUUUCCCACGAUAAAGCACAUGCGAGCAUCAGAUUUCAGUAUUGUUUAUGAAGUUUUUGUGCCUGGAUUAAACUAUUUGAAAUCCACGUUCCUAGCUGGUAAUGUAAGUGGGCCCAGUGACACUGGCUUAGUGUUACCCCGCUCCAAAACAAAGGUGCAAUUGAUGAGGUUUCUUUUAAACCCUAAGCAACCAAUGGCAGAACAGAAAGACAGUUGUCUUGUACGUUAUGAAGACACAUAGAUUGGCUAAUAUUUUAACUUGAACACAUCAUUAAAAAAAUAGUCUCUGAAUAUAGUUUGACAGCUCC